rnacentral:rRNA from 1 species
UACGAAGGGGGCUAGCGUUGCUCGGAAUCACUGGGCGUAAAGCGCACGUAGGCGGCUUCUUAAGUCAGGGGUGAAAUCCUGGAGCUCAACUCCAGAACUGCCCUUGAUACUGAGGAGCUCGAGUCCGGAAGAGGUGAGUGGAACUGCGAGUGUAGAGGUGAAAUUCGUAGAUAUUCGGAAGAACACCAGUGGCGAAGGCGACUCGCUGGACAAGUAUUGACGCUGAGGUGCGAAAGCGUGGGGAGCAAACAGG